rnacentral:rRNA from 1 species
UUCUACCUACGGGACGCAGCAGUGGGGGAUAUUGCACAAUGGGGGAAACCCUGAUGCAGCGACGCCGCGUGAGUGAAGAAGUAAUUCGUUACGUAAAGCUCUAUCAGCAGGGAAGAAAAUGACGGUACCUGACUAAGAAGCCCCGGCUAACUACGUGCCAGCAGCCGCGGUAAUACGUAGGGGGCAAGCGUUAUCCGGAAUUACUGGGUGUAAAGGGAGCGCAGACGGCAGUGCAAGUCUGGAGUGAAAGCCCGUGGCUUAACCACGGGACUGCUCUGGAACCUGUGCAGCGAGAGGGAAGGAGA